GUUUCUACAACUCGGACUUGUGUUAGUAUCCAUAUUUCUGUUCAAUGCCUGGUACGGCUCGCUCUUGCUCAUACUCGUUCUCUUCCAUUACUGUACCCAUCUAAAUCAACAUGACACUAAUCCGUGAAAUGCAAGAUUCAAAGUUGGAGAAAAAAGGACAAAAUGUGGAGUAUGAUUAUUACUGUUAAAAAGGGGGAGUUGCUUAUGCCAGACCACAAGAGAGCAGAUCAACCAGAAAGGAGCAAGUCGAUUUCGACAUUUUGUCUGGGAAAGAUGCUGUUUCUUUCCCAUUCUAAAAAGAUAUCACUGCACCACCACAGGUCCACAUCAGACCCAUCUCCAGAGAUUUCAAGUCUGAUAAACAUCGACUUCAGCGACUGCGCAACAAUUGAAUAAAACCAUAGAAGGUGCACAACACAAAGAAAUGCUGUCAGGAAAAACUCAUCACCGAUAUAUCUGAAGCCAACCGAUAUCACCUGUGAAAAUAAGAAGACGAAAAAAGAAUUCCAACAUGCGACCAUCAAAAUAGAUGCAAGCUUAAAAUGUGUACAUUGAAUGAUGUGGUAUUUAAAACUUUCAUAUGUAAAUUGUACAUGAAAAUGAUGUCUGAUAUCUCUUUAAUUACCAUCAAUUAAUUAUUUCAUUUUUCAGACUAAAAUAGAAAUCAUCACACAUGUAUUUUCAAUCAUCUUUAGUCAUACGUUAUGGUAUGCAAACACGAUCAAACUGUCAAUCUAGUUAUUUCACUGAACAGUGAUGAAUAUUUAUACUGCUCUGUACCCCCACAAAGUUCUAUAGACAAGUCAGCCCGCCUGUUGACGCUAUUUGAGGAAUGAUAGUCUAUCAAAUUCGUUUAUCACAUUCACGCAUGGUCACCCUCUUAUCCAAAAUAAUGGACCAGCAAGUCAAGAAAAAGAAGUUACGACACUUGGUGUUAUUUCACGGUCGUUAAACGAUUCCACUCAGAGACAUACGAGAGAGGGGGUUCGGUAUCGGCUUGACAUUUCUUGAUCCCACUUCAAGGAACAAAGAGGCGAACUACCACCGGGGUCCGCGGAGCUCUUUAAAAAUGUGAUAUCAUUGAUCAGGGUGCCCAUGGCUCAUCCUAAUCACAACUGUCAACAUGCGCCACGAAACACAAUCCGGAACCUCCAUAUGCUUCCCCAAUUUUUUUUAUAUCAAUUUACAUUAUAACUUAUCAAAUAUCUAGAAUACAUGUUCAAUCAUAUUUCGGUUAUGAACUAUGUAGAAUCACAAAUGCUGGUUGUAAAGUCAAAAUUGAACCUAUAUAUGUUGCAAACUUUUGAAUUUUUUUUUAGUGUUCAUCAGCAACAAUUUAGCAAAUCCAACUUUUCAGUUUGUUCAAAAUACCUUUGCAAGGAUGUAUUAGUACCGAUAAUUUUAAAUGGCUGUUUUGAUUAUGCUACAAAAAACAAAAUACAAUAAUAAUACAAU
rnacentral:sRNA from 1 species